rnacentral:lncRNA from 1 species
CAUAUCAUAUCAUGACAAACACACAUACUCAAAGUGGUAAAUUCUAAGCAUAUGCAUUCAACUCUUGAACUAGCAUGUAGGAAUGUUAACUAAAAUUGCAUCAAAUCAUAAUAUAACAUCAAUCCAUACAAGAUUGGUUAGUGUUUUCAACCCUAACCCCAACAAAGUACUACUCACUCAUAAUUACAUAAACAAACUUCAUAAUCAAAUUAAACAUCAAAAUAGAUCUAGAGUUUAAGAGAGAGAGAGUUGGCUUAGUGGUGUGUUGAUUGAUCCCCAAGCUCACGUCUUGGUGGUACGUGGUGGUGAUGAAGGUGAUUUCCUCUCCUUCUUGCUCAUGUUGUUUGAUGACAAGAGAUGGUGAAGCUUGAUCUAUGCUUUGUGUGAAUAGGUGGAGUGGAUGGAGAAAAUGGUAUAGAUAAGAGAAUGGAGAAAUGGUGUAGUGGUGGUGGUGUUAAUGGAGGUUUGGGUAAGAGAUGGUGGUAGUGAUGGAGGAGAUAGAGUAGAUUGGGGGAGGAAGAGGAAAAAGAUGGGUUUGGAUUUUGGGAGAGGGAGAUGGAGGUUUUGUGGUGGAAAAGAGAGAAAAAGGUAGAGAGUGGUGAAUGGGUGGAUGAUGAAUGUUGUAGUGGAUAGAUGUAUGUUUAUUAUAUAGAAGAAAGAUAAGUGAAAAUGGGGGAAUGAGAAAGUCAAAACAGCCCCCUUCCCUAAUUCAACUGUAAGGGAGAAGGAAGAGUGUGAGAGUGUCCAUGAAUUGCCAAAAAAAAGAUAAAAAUGUAGGGAAAUAAUCGCAUAGGUUAGAGUAGGCAAUGAUGAUGUUUAAAGCAUGGUGAUGUCUAUUAUCCAAAGAGUAAUAGAAUGAAUUUCAUGUUGUUACUCAAUCACCAUUAAUCUCCUUGCUCCUCCUUUAUGGUGACUGGAAAAGACAUGACACCACCAAAAGAGGUGGUGAGCCGUCAUUUGUGCAGUCAAUAGUGGUGGUUCGCCGGAAUCCGAAAAUCUACGUUUUGCUUCACAUUGGACCGUCAUUUUUCCUAGCUCCGAUUCUCCAUGUUAAUGCCAAAAAUGCAUAUUUUCAUCACUCUUGCAAUAUUCCUAGAUAAAUAGAAAAUGAUUUAGUGAAAGAAAAAAUGAACUCAAAAACAAGGCAAAUUCAAUAUUUAGGGGAAUGAAAAUGUGUGUAAAUUAUGGUCUAACACAUACCCAAUGGACUAAUCGAGAUCACAUCACAGGGACCAAUUGCCACUAAUCUUUUCAAAUCUUUCAUGUACUCUCAUUUCGAUGGGAUCAAAUGGUAGCCUUAUCACAAGUAAUUGUUAUCAUGUAACAAUAAUUAAGAGACUGAAGAAAGAAUAAACCCCUCAGAAUUCAGGGCAGGACAGCAUGAAACCUUAGUCAAAAAUGGUUCCUCAACCUCAAGAAAAGAGGGAGCACCAAUAUUUUGACAUGAGUUUUCACGCAUAUCUCGCUCAGAUUCUUACUGGUUUCUUCUUCAUCAUAUUUAAAGGACUAAUCGAGAUCAAAUCACAGGGACCAAUUGCCACUAAUCUUUUCAAAUCUUUCAUGUACCCUCAUAUCUAUGGGAUCAAAUGGCAGCCUUAUCAAGUAAUUGUUACCAUGUAACAAUAAUUAAGGGAUUGAUGAAAGAAGAAACCCUCAGAAUUGGGCAGGACAACAUGAACCUUAGUCAAAAAUAGUUCCUCAACCUCAAGAAAAGAGGGAGCACCAAUAUUUUGACAUGAGAUUUCAGGCAUGUCUCGCUCAGAUUCUUACUGGUUUCUUCUUCAUCAUACCCAAGGGACUAAUCGAGAUCACAUCACACGAACCAGUUGCCACUAAUCUUUUCAAAUCUUUCAUGUACCCUCAUUUUGAUAGGAUCAAAUGGCAGUCUUAUCACAAGUAAUUGUUACCAUGUAACAAUAAUUAAAGGACUGAUGAAAGAAGCAAUUGUUACCAUGAAUGUUGUUUAGCAGUGUUUCUUGUGAUCGGAGAACCCCUCAGAAAAAUCUUAGGGGUUACUUGAAAGAAGAAAGAUAGAACUAAAAGAAGUAACCCCUUAGAAACCAUGAAAGUUAUGCAGGGUUACUUGUGAUCGAAACCGUAAAAAUCUUAGUGAUCAGAACUUCCGUUUUCUUCCCAUGACGGGCGGUCCUCUCCGGCGAGCUACUCUUUCUCCAAUGUUGGCCAUACUAAACCCUAAACGCUCAAAAAUAUAUAGAAGUAUAGCACCAAAAGAAAAAGAAAUAUAUAUUUUUUUUUUGGUCAAGAAAAGAAAAAUAUAUAUAGAGAAGUAGGGAUCAAUAUAUAUACUGUAAUAUCGAUGAGUAAAGACAAUAGAAACUCACAUCAAUUAGGGUUCUCACAUCCUAUUAUAUGAUUCUGUUAGGAUCAGAAUCCAUUUAUAAAAGGAAAACUAGGAAAUCAAAGGAAAUAAACUAAACAACAUUCAUAUCACUUAUCCAUAUCUAAUAAGAGAAGUUUACAGCCUUUAUAUAUCCUACAAAUCUAAAAUAACUACUCUAAUAACUACCCUAUUUGGACCGAAUGGGCCUUGAGUUUACUACAACAAGUCUGGGCUAGGGGUCAUCAUUUGGCCCGCGGGCCUAAAAGCCCGUGGGCAGCCCAUCGUCCGGAAUGGCCAAAGCUUGGCCGACCCAUAGAAAAGCCCAUCUCGGCCCGGCCCUUAGGGCAUAAGGCCGGGCUAGGGCGGAGGGUUCAAAACCUCGGCCCUGCCUGUUACAUGCCCAUCAAAGCCCGCCCGGCCUGACCCUAAAAAGCCCUUUCAAUUGUUUUAUAAAUAUUUUUAUGGAGUUAUUAGUUAAAUAUGUGAACUAAUUAAUGCAUUAAGUCAUAUUUUAUUUUGAUUUUUUAUUACAUUUAGUUUAAUCAUUAACAAAUCUUAACUUUUUUUUUAUAAUUUUUUUUUUAUUUGAUAAAAUUCUAUUAGAUAUAUGUAUAUAAUAGGCCGACCGGCCUGGCCUAUCUAAAAAGUCCGACUCGACCCAUCUAAAAAAGCCGGCCUGACCUGGCCUAUAAGCCUGUAAGGCCUGGACAUGCGGGUUUUGAUAAUUUUUUAAGUUAGUCCCAUCCUGGCUCGGCUCUAAUAAAAAAUAAAAUAAAUAAAUUAAAUAAAAAAAACAUAAUUGAGGCCCGACCCGAGCCCCUAGCCAGGCGGGCGUUUUUUGAUGAUCAGGCUAUGCCCAGUACAUAAAAAGGCUGUGAAAUACAUCACCUACGUACAUAUGUGAAAGAGGAAUACGAGUUAGUAUCCUAACAGAUUCAGUCACGUUCUCUUCAGUGGGAUUGAGUUGGGCAGUUCUAUCUCAAUUACAGGGAUUUUAACGUACCAAUUAUAUUUAAGGAAACAGAGAGAGUGGUUAAAAAGGGAGAAGGCCCAAGUCCAAGACCCUAGCCCAACUAGAUCCCAGCAGCCGCAAGAAUGGCCGAAAACUAAUCGGAAGAAAGUAGAAACUAAAUAUAUAGUAAUAAAUAAAUUUCCUUUCAGCAGAUGUGCCCUUAAUACUGGAGACAAAGAAAUUUACCGGCACUCUUUAUCAUUACACAAUUAACCAACUGAGAUAUAUAGCACAAAACAUGAAAACUACACGGUGGUCGACGGAUCCGAAAUCCCAUCAUGCAUGAACUUCACUAAUAGUUGAAGCUAGACUUGCUUGCUGUAGCACUCUUCUUAGUGUAGACAGACUUGGUGACCUUGAGCUGUGUUUUGUACUCGGUGGUGUAUCCCUGAGUUUUGUCGACAUACUUGUCUAUCGAGGUGUACUUGGCCUCUUGUUUGUAGCCGGACUGCCCACUGCGGUUGUCCACGAACUCUCCUUCCUUGUAACUUUUAGUGAAGUUACUUGAAGCCCCACAGUACUCGUCGUUGUACGAUGACUUCACCUGGCUUUGCAUUUCGUCGGCGUUGAUGUUUCUCGCCGGAGCAACAGUUAUGAAGCCGCAAUAAGCCUUUUUCGUCAUUCUGUAACUAUAUGAAGACGUGGGUUGUGAUCAUAUGCAAAGAGGGUCUUGUCUUUUAUAUGGUAACAAGUCGGAACAUGGAUAUUAACUAUGAUUUAUGAAGAUGUGGGAAUCAAGAACGUAUAUUGUGAGGAGAGGAGGGGUCUUUUAUCUGUUUGUUUUGAGAACAAAGGUGUAAAUGUCAUUAUCGGUUAUGGUGAAAGAGACCAUCCAACUUUCCCAGUUCUUCAGGUGAGAAAGGAGGGGAAGUUGUUUAACCAAUACUAAUACUAAUGCAUGUCAUACAAGUGUUGUUUUAAGGUUUUACAGUGCAAUGUUUUUUCGUAUACCUAUUUUCAGUUUGUCCUUUAAUGGACUCCUAAAUCUCAAGAAUAAUAAGUACCAUUUAUAGUGCAAACCUAAAGGCUAAAGCUAUGAUUUCUUUAAUUUUUUGAAAUCCUGAAAAAAGUGAAUUAUCAUACUGAACAUAUAUAAGUUCAAUUGUCUGAUAGGAAUUUGCUGCCAGCAGAUAAAGGUAGCGAUCUUUGAAUUGAAACGGCCGGCAUAAAUGCAAAUAUGAUGAUUUAGCAGCUAAUAAGAAUAUAGAGAAACUAUGGUUCGUGCAUGCAGCAACAAAUGAGUUCAAAAACCAAAGCAUGUCUCGACUUUAAUUUUGGUGCUGGCUUUUGCUGGGUCUGUUUUAUCAUUGCUGGGUAUAACCAUUACAAAACAAGGAUGGGUUUGGAAAAUACGUAUAAUCUUUUACGCCUUAGGUGUAUUUAGAUAUUUGUGGGUAUUUAGAAGAACGAAAAGAGAUCGAUGCUGUAGAGCAAGACUAGUUGUAUAACAUUAAGAAAACAUUACUAAGAAAAAAAGGAUUACACAUAGUAAACAAAAGCACGUACGUAACAUAAAUAGAUAUAGAGCAGUGGAUACCAUAGAUCUACUACAGUCUAUUCCCAGGACUCUAACCCAAAGAGACUUCCGUUAAUUCCUUCCCCUACAUCAUUGGAGAUACACUAUUAAUUAACCAUGCCCGCAAUUUGGACAACAGCAUCGGCAGCUGCAACAACAGGUGAAAGAAGAGGUAUGAGCGUUCCGACUCCGAGCACUGGAAGAAUAACAGCAGCUACUGAUGCAGCAGCUGAAAUCCAACGGAAAACCGAAACAAAAGCCCGAAACCACGACAUUGUGACUCAAGGACGACUUCAACUUUACACUCUAGAUUAGUAGACUGAUAGUGAGUCUGAAACUGUAGGAAAGGCUGUUGAAUGUAGGAGGUUUGCGCACUAUAUUUAUAGCAGGUAAUUUAGAUGGGAACCUGUGCAGCUGAGCUCUAUCGGUCUCUUCGUUUAGUGUACCUCUAAUGAACACAUUUAAUUACUUCGAUUCUUUAAAGAUUAACGGCAUGCGCGCGCAUGCGUCUUCAUGCACUGUGUUUUGGAAAUAUGAGACUUUCAUGACAUAAUUACUGCUUCUAGUUUAUUGUGAACGUCAUAAUAUUAUAUUUGUUGCCUUACCCACAGUUUUAUUUCCCAAUUUCCUCUCUUGUUUUUCCAAUUCGCCGGUGAAGAUCAAUUUGGAUUAUUUUCAGAUUUAACAAGAUUGAUUGAUAUCCCUGACGAUGUUUCUAGUUUUCUUUUCCUUUCUCUUACUGGGUUUGUUAUUACUAGCUGAUUUUUAUCGCUGAAAUAGGUUAAUCUCUACACCUCUGCAAGACUGCAACAAACCCAGCAGCACCCUGAUAAGAAUUUCUCUAUUGGGUCUCCUUCUACACCCUGAUGACAACUUUCAACAUUUAAUUUGGUUUUGAUUGAUUUCAAUCCAAAACUUGCUGCGGAUUUCAAUCCCAAUUUUUGUUCGCCUCUUUUGGUCUCAUCAGAGGACGGAGGAGGAAGUUGAUUUCGGUGGGAGAAAAUUUUUUUUCGAUGAAGAAGCCAGUUCUGGGAUUGAUUCACGAGAAAUAAAGAGAAAAUAAAGAAAAAUACUUUUUCAAAAUUAAAAAUAAGAUUAGAGUUAACAGAGUUAUUGUGGUGUUAGGCUAGCGAUGAGAUGUCAAAUUUUAGUUGGUGGCACAGGGUUUUUGGGCAGAGGUGAUGUGCUUCCCCUUAAGAACUAAUUGGAAUAAAUCUUAGCAUCUUACGAGUAGUUAAGACUCAAGAGGCCAACAAAAGGCCAUUUUGCAUUUCUUCUGGGGCUUCUUCUGAAUUUACACCCUGCUCAUAUCCUAUAGAAUGUUCAUUUUGUAACAUUUCACAGUUGUUCACAUCAUCAUAAGUAGUAGUAGUAGUAGUAGUAGUAGUAGUUUAACCUGCUUCAAAUGAUGUUAAUAUAUUAUGCUUCAUUGAUUAAUGAUGUAAUCCAACUUCUAAGAGGUGAUUCUGCAUGCUGAGGUCCUCACUAGACUCGACAGCAAAAUUUGACAGCAAACCUGCAAAAUCAACCAAACCCCAUCAAAAUGUAGUCACUACGCAGAUAGGAAGUUACAUAAAUGUAAGAAUCACUGUGCCAUUACAGAAUCAAACAACCGGGAAACCCUUACCCCCCCCCCCCCCCCCCUUUUCCUAGUCUAGAAAAGCUCAGGUUUAUCUUCCUUUUGUCUGUACAUAAGUUGUGGCUCGUCUUAAAGAUAUUGAAAUGAUCCUCUCAGUAAUGGAGGUAAUCUAGAGCAUGACUCAUAUAUGAAGACCUUAAGGUUACAAUGUCAGGCCAGUUUAUCAUACUAUACCACAGUAAUUGAAAUGCCAACUCCAUGUCUCCCAAAGGAUACAAGGUUUAACACGCAUUGUGCAAUAAAAGAAGAAUAAUGACACCAGGAAAACCCAGCGCACAACUGCACAACUGAAGUUCCAACAUACCAUUCUAUAUUAGUCUAAUAUCUAGGAGAGCUAACUCACUCAAACUUCCUUUCAAAGAGCAGGACCUCUGAUACCAAAUUGUAUUACUAGUUUACCUUAUACGAGUUCUUCCUAAAUUAUCAAGCUAAGUGGCCCGGAGAAAAGUUUUAUCCAUUUUUGAGAUAUUAAUAUACCCAUAUGAUCAAAACCUUAAGUGUGAGUACUGAAAACCCAAGGCCAUCGCCAUGUCUCCAAUAGUAUCCAGCUUUAUCAUACAUCAGAUCUUGCACUGUUCAUUGUUAGAAUGAAUAUCUUUUUCAUGUCUGAAAUUAUAGAAGAAUCAUCUCACCAGUAAAACCUAGCAAGCACAGUUGAAGUUCGUUUAUACCAUUCUAUAUUAAUCUAAUAUCCAGUAGAACUAACAAAGAAACUCAAAUGUCACAAAGAACAGUAUAUGUGCUCUAGGAAGUUGCAUUCACUAGUUUACCUAAUUCGAGUUCUUCCUAAAUGACUAAGUCAAGUGUCGCAGGAAAAAAGUUUUAUUCUUAAAUAAAACCGGUAAUUACAACACCCACAUUGAUUGUAGUUAUGGCUGGAGUUCAGAAAUUUAGUGUAUUCCUGCUCAAGCGGCAGAUGGGCAAUGCAAGUUGAAUGUGAUAUGUUCACUGCUCUGUGCAUUUCAGCUUAUGUUAUUGUUGCCCAGCAUAAAGAUCUCACCUAAUUCAAACCUUACAAGCAGAUACCUCAUCUAAUUUCUCCAACAAAAGAUUUGAAUGCCAUAAUAUCAACUAAAGAACAAUGCAGCUCCGGAUCUACUUCAAGCAUACUUAUAUUCAGCUAACACUACAACUACUCGAUGCAAGAAUAGAAAUGCCGAAAAAUACAACCAUAUUAUCAAUGUAGUGUACCUGAAGCUUGAAGCUCAUCUCAAGACAGGCUUUUGCAGAAGAGCAGUCAAGUAAACCUCCCCAUUCUUCUCAUUCUUACUCGCCGUCGCCCACUUCACUCUCCGGUACCCCAACUUCCCAAUCAACGGCCCGAAAACCUUCUCAAGAUCCACCCCCUUGCUAAAGAAAUGAUCCAACCACAAGUACCCUCCUACCCUCAACACCCUAUCCGCAUCGUACAACAAAAACUCCAACGCCGUCACCGGAAUCCACCUGUUCACCGCGUGCCCGCACCGCACCAGAUCCAACACCCCGUCAAACACGGGGAACCGCUGCUGCAGCGGCACGUGCAGCGGCACCAGCCCCCUCAGCGCCACCGCCUCGUUAUUCGGACUGCCGAAAUUCAUGGUGGUGGUGACAACUGUCACAUUGUAGAGCUUCAUCCUGGCGGCGAAGGUCCCGGUGCCGCCGCCGACGUCCAGCCCGAGGCGGAGGACGGCGCCGGCGGCCUUGGCGAUCUGGAAGAACUGCGGGAUGGGGAGGUCCAGCUCGGACUUGUAGGUCAUGAAGUUGGAGAGCUCGUGGCUGAAGUCGAAGCCGGAGCUGAGGCCACGGCGGUUGAGGCAGCUGAAGCUUUUGCAGGCGUACUUGUCCCAUAUCACAUUCUGAUCCGGGAGAGAGGGAGGGAAAGCGUCGUGGGAGAGCGAUGACGUGGGCUUCUGCGGCGUUCUGGAGAAGCAUCUCCGGCGGGGGAGGGGGUGGCAGCCGCGGAGGAUGAGGCUCUCGGCGACGUCGUCGGCGUCGGCGGGGCAGAGGGAGAAGGGAGUGUAGGUCAUGUACUUGUUGAGGAGGUCGGGGUGGUUGUGGCAGGAGGAGGCGAUCGGGGAGAGGCGGGAGUAGAGGAGGAGGUCGGCGGAGGAGGCGGCGGCGGCGCGUGGGGGAGGAGGGUGGUGGCGCGUGAGGUGGUUGAUGGUGGCGCGUAUGGUUUGGAGCUGGCGGAGGAGGUGGUCGGGGACGGCGGUGUUGGGAGGGGUGGGGGAUUGGAUGGUGGAGGAGAGGUGGUAGAGGGAGAGGAUGUUGGUGGCGACCAUGGCCAUAAGCAGAAGCAAGUUAAGACCCAUUGUGAAACCCAUCUUUGGAAAAAUUGGGUUUCAGAUUUGGAAAGAUUUGAGCUUUUUUCUUGAAGUCAGUGAGCGUUUGACUUCAUAGUGAAGUAAGCAGCUUUAUUAUUACGGUGGAAGCAGUUGCAGAGCCCAGUUGGGGUUAGAUUUGUAAUUAGGAGGAAGUUUGGGGGUGGAAACUGGGAAGAGAGAGUUGCAUCACUUGCAUGGAUUUGGAUUUUGAUUUGGUUUCGUUUGUCAUUUCGUGGGGUUAGUUGGGUCAAAAGUGUGAAAAUAAUUAGAGUGGGAUGGACUGGAGGCACGUGACUUGUUGGACCCACUUGAACCUUUUUACCUUUUUUUUUUAUUAAAUGGGAUUAUUUUUUUUCAUGCAGAAUCUAUUCCAUGAUUUUAUAUUCCUGCCUUUCUGAUUCCAUGAUUAAGAGAAGCAUUUACUGUUUUCCGGGGACGGCUGUUCUUGAGUCCGACGAUGUGUUUAACUCCGGAACUAGAAAGAUGUGUUUUAAUCCGAGUCCUGUAUCUUGUAGCGAAUCCUGGUAACCACAUAAAGCAUUAGAGUGAUUGGUUUAUUUAUGAAUAUAUGUUACAUGGAGUUUAAUUGUCUUAAUUCAUACAGAUCAAUGAAGUCACACUAAACACGUCUUUAGAUUUUCUUACCAAAAUUUUAAAAUAAAAAGACAAGCUUUUAUGAAGCAAAGAACACCAAAGUUAUGAGUGAAGGAUAAUGAAGAGAACAAAAUCACAUAGAAGUGCAAACUAAGAGUUGAUCUUAAGUUUGGCUUUCAUAUAUUAUCAUCAAAUCAAGUGAGCGUACACUAUUGCUUUACGCGAUACUGUUUUUCAGUGAGCUAUGAUAUGUUAGUAAGUUAUAAAUCCAACAUAUCAUAAGUUGGAAUAUUCUCACUCAUACAUUUAAGUUGAGUGAGUGGUUAAGAGUUUUUUGAAGUGGUAAAAAUUAGCUUCUACCCUUUAAUUACAUAAGUGAUAUAUAUAUAGUUCCAUUCAAGACUAGGACACCGUUUUGAAAAUUAAAAUAUGGUGUUCUUCAUUUCGCUCAUUUUUAGGUCAUAUUUUCACAUCUUCACCGUUCAAUGUCUAGAACAUAGUGUGUAGAUCAUUCCUGUAAAAUUUCAUCCAAUCUAGAGAUCAUUUAGGUACCGAAUUAGAUUAAAUGAAUCAACUGAACAAAAUAUGUCCAAAAUCUCCAAAUUGGAUUACCCUAAACGUUUAUUAAGACUCUGGAAACAAAACUGGAUUGUGUUCUACUACUACGUGUAUAGCAAUGGGCCGAUAUAGGGACGAUACAACCUAAAUGGAACGAAUCCAAUGAACUGGGCUUUUUCGUUCUUGUUUUUCUAUACCAAAGCUUAUAUACACUUUCUGAGUGCUGCGUGCAACAGUACAAUCUGUAUAUAAAGAUCUCAGACUCCGCGUCCGACAAACGCAAACGCAAACACAAACACAAACUCAAACUCAAACUCAGCCGGACUUAGAUCUAUCUCUACUCACAACUUGAAUCAAUGGUAAAUUCUCUCCCUCACUUUCAGUUUUCCUUUUACUUCCCACUAGAUAAUUUUGCCAUACUUUGAAUUAGGGCUAUGAAUGUUUUUAACUUUUCAUAUUCAGAUUUCCACUAAUUAUAUAAAUUAUAGCUGGGUUUUAAUCAAUCUGUACUCUUUUAUGGUCUUCAAUAUGGAUUGGGAGCUGAAAUUGAGUAGGCUGAUAGUACCCAGAAGCUUUGCGGUCUUUUAUAUAGUUGUAGUUAUCUGGGUUAGCUAUGUUAUAUUGUUAUUGGGUUUUCUACUACCAGCCACAGAAAGUAAUCAACUUUGAGGAAUUACAAUCACUAGAGUUUGUGAAACAUGGUCUGAAAGAGUUAGGUAGUUAGUUCUAUACUUCUAUCCUCCAGUUCAGGCUCAUAAGUAAUGGGUUUGGAAUUGUGCAGGAGUUGGCUCAUGUAAUGAUAAGUGAAGUUAUGAACCUUUUGCAGUCUUGUAAUGCAAUUACGGUGCUUUAGAAAGCACACAGAACUGUAUGGUUUAGUUGUCUGGUUUGUCAAGCAAUGAACCAGUUCAUGUUCUCAACCAUGCCUGGCUAGAUAUCAAAGUUAACUUUUUCAAAUUGAUCGGAUAACCAGAAGCACUGCCUUCUUUCCCUUGUUUUUCUUGUAAGUCUAUACAUGUAAAUGAAUGGAAGUCAAAGACUAUAUGUUAUUUAUAGUUGGCAUAUUAUUUCAAUUAUGUGUUUUUUUUUAGUAUGAUUGGGUUUGUUAGCUAUUUGGUUUCCCUGUCAUUGGAUGUUCGUUCUUUAACUUUAUGAAUUCCGUUAUUAGGCUGAUCCCGAACUCGAAGCAAUCAGACAGAGGAGAAUGCAGGAGCUUAUGGCUCAACAAGGCGCUGUAAGUACAACUUAGUUUAUCUGAACAUCUGUGCUACAAAAAGAGGUUGUCUUCUUGGCGCUUUUGUGCUGACCUCACUACUUUAUAUUGAUAAGCAGGGAGGAGCCCGAGGGCAGCAAAAUACUGAACAGCAGAAGGCAAAUGAUGAUGCCAAGAGGUUGGGUUUUAAAUUAACUUUGGGUGUUACUUCUUUUUCUUUUGUUCUGAUAAUGUUCUUAAUAAUCUCAUAACAUAAGGCAAAUAAAUGUAGGGAGGCAGAAGAACGGAGACAGAUGAUGCUUAGUCAGAUUUUGUCAUCUGAAGCUCGUGAAAGACGUAAGUUGAUAUCUGAAAUUGGCAGUUGAUUUUCUAAUUAGUUUUACCCUGUAUUUUCCUUUAUUAGUCAUCUAUUAAGGACAAAACUAUUUCUGAUUUAAUAUGUUUGGAACUUUGGAUCACUGUUAUUGACUAGUAAAUAUAAUGUAGAUGUCUUGGAAGGAUAUUUAGUUUUUUCAAAACUAAGAAUGACGGAGAAGAUGCUAUCUUGAUAAGUUAAUCUGUGGCAACGAUCUGUUGCAGUUCAGUCAAAUGCAUAAUAAGUGCAAUUCAUAACUUGGCUAGGGUACUUAUACAUUAUCUUAUACGUAAUGCUAUGCAUUUGUAGUUGCUCGAAUUGCUUUGGUGAAACCUGAGAAGGCAAGAGGUGUUGAAGAUGUCAUAUUGAGAGCUGCUCAAAUGGGCCAAAUAGCUGAGAAGGUAUGGUUUAUGGUUCUCACAUCCUCAUCUGUCUUAUGGUGGCCCAUAGUUUUCUAUUUUUCUCGCACCAAAGCUUUCAUAAGAGCUCAUCUAUAGAAGAAACAAAGUGCUUAGAAUUCAAUUGUCAGGUCUCCGAAGAAAGGCUUAUUUCAUUGUUGGAACAGAUCAACAACCAAACAACCAAGCAGACCAAAGUCACUGUAAGUUUCAAUUCAUGACGACCUUCAUUUGUUUCCAUUUCCAUGAUAAGCGAUUCUGAUUUGGCCUUGUGUUGCUUUCCGUUUUCCAGAUUCAGAGGCGUAGGAGUGUUCUCGAAGAUGAUGAUUGAUUUGAAUUUGUGCGUUACAGUUGAAGACUUUGGCUGUAUAUUGAAACAUAAUGCACUUUGAAACAUAAUGCACUUGUUAUUGGGUUGUGAAAUAUUUUACUGUUCUUUCUUCAAUCUUGAUAUUCGUGAUAUGCUCUAAUACAAUAUUGUAUGGGAAGAAAUUUUUCACCAAUUAUUGUUUGAAGCCUUGUGAAUUUAAUUGAAAACUGGUCACUUGGAAUGGAAUAACAUUCUAAACUGAUUACUACCGACUCUCAACGCUUGAUUCUAGAUUUCAUUUUAUAUCAAAAGGUUUACCCUUAGUUGUGUUUUUGUGGCUUAGAUUUCAUUUUAUUAGAUUUCAGUCUAACAGGGAUACAUAACCCCUGAUAUUUGGUGCACAUUCAUGUCUGCGUCUGGUUGAUUGACUCUUAUUUUUUCGUGUUUGGUGUGAGACCAAAAGUCCAAAACUUCCGACAUAUGAUUCAUUAAACCAUGUUUCCUAAGAAAUAUAUAUCAGAGGAGGUAGUUUUUAUAAAAAUACAACAAUGAUGGAGAAAAAUUGAGAGAAGUUUAACUGAAGUUGAAGACAUCAAAAGGGUUAGCAACCUAAAUACUAAAAACAAAUGAGAGAAUAUACGUCAGCCUUAAGCACCAUUUGUAAGAAAGAAUAACCGUUAGAUGACACGAUCAGAAACUGAAGGCAACCAUUUGAUUGGAUAGGACAUGACACACGAGAUUUUUAUGAGGGAAAUCUGUAAAUUAUUUCACGAGUAAAACAAAUACAGUGUAAAAGAAACUAGGUAUUACAAGACUUUGAGAGAAAUCUUGAGUGAAGAGUUGGAAUCAAAAUCUUGUGUAAAGAUUUUGAAAUUCUGAGUAGAGAUUUUGAAUCGAAGAUUUGAGUAAAUACUGGAAUUUGAUAUGAGCACAAAGUGCUAUGUUUAUAAUGUAUUUCCUACCCUAUUUAGUUAUAAUAUUCUCAUAAUGUUAUUUCUAACAUGUUUUGUGAUUGUAGAGGCAAUGAAUCGAGAAAAAAAGGCUAAAUCGCGGAAAUAAGAGAAAAAUACAGAAAAAGGCAAAUAAGCCCUUCUUGCAGUCCAAGGAAGGAAGGAGAAGUAAAUUUGGAUUCUAAUUCCAAAGAAUGAAGGAGAAGUAAGUUUGGAUAAAAGAAAAGAGAAAAGUCAAACAUGUGCACCUAGUCCCACAUUAUUUUGGAAGAAGAAAUAAAUUUGGAUUUGUCACACCCCGGUCCCGACGUCGACGGGUUUUAAGCACUAGACGUCGAUCCUGAGGCGUGAACGAGUGUUACAAAGCGAAAUGUAAACAAAAGUACUAUCUUCUAAACUCGUCGUCUACCCUUUUCCCGGCUUGGUACAACCUAAGUACUUUUUCUGCAAAAAAUAUUAGAAAUGGAUGGGUGAGCAAAACCACGCGCUCAGUGAGUAGACCAAUGUAAUAUGCCCGCAAAGCCAUGUCAUUUUACACACGCUACAAAAUACGUAUAUCGUAUACACAUCACUUCACACAAUUCAUCACAUCGCACAAUCCCUUCUUAUUGGAUAUCCUUCAAUUUAGUGAUCCCCAUGGGAACCUAAUGACCUUCAAGUCUUAUACCUCCGUGUGUCACAUCCUUACUUCGGCAUAACCAAUCAAGAAGUUCACAUGUUCCAUGACUAAUCAAACAAUGGAUCCAACACAUAAUUAUAUAUAAACACUGCAUAUUUUGCAAAUAGACAUGGUUCACUUGAAAUAGAGAGAUAUUUCGUAAAUAGAUCAAAAUCAUGUUUUUCGACUAUUGUGAUAACAAAUAAGAAUAUUUUAAAUAUAUUACACAAAUCCACUCACCUCGUCAACACGAAUCCCUACCAAGAACAUCGAUUGUAAACCGAGCCUCCUAAAAUGAGUCAUCUAGAAAUCACCGUUGGAUCUAGCUCAAAAUUCUAGGAUAGAAAGAGGACAUCGAUACGUACCCGUAGCAUCUCGCGAAUUCAGAAUCGGAGUUAUGGAUCAAAAAUUAUAAUCCGCCAAAGUUUAGUCGCAAAUCUAGAGAGAGAAACUAAUUAAAGANNNNNNNNNNNNNNNNNNNNNNNNNNNNNNNNNNNNNNNNNNNNNNNNNNNNNNNNNNNNNNNNNGAGAGAGAGAGAGAGCGUCAGAAUUGAGACUUUUUUUUUUAGAGAAUUAUUUAUUAAGACUUGAGAGAGAAAAUUGGGGAAAAAUUAAGAGAUAUAGAGAGAGCGUACGUAUGUAUUCUGUCUUUCUUUUUGUUAUUUUAUACGCGUCACACGUAUUUUUAACGUGACGCACUUCCAGCUAUAUUAUUUGCAUUUUCUAUUAUGCCCCUACUUAUUAGUAUCUUUAUAAAACAAAACAAAAAAUAUUAAUAAAGGGUAAAACUGGUAUUAUCUGAAAACUGAAAAUAACUAUCCUCAUUUCCUAUUUCAUUUUUUUCUACCAUAUGCUCUCAAAUCUAUCGCUCUGCCAUAAGUUCUUAAAUCAAUCUUUUUGCCUGAAAAUCAAAUUUAAAAAGAUUCUCAUAAACCCUAAAUCAUGUACUUAUAUAAUUGCACCCCCGAAAAAGGUUCAAAUUUAGACCUAGUCUUGAAUCUCUGUAGCCUAACUCUUUCUUUUGUCUUUGUUAAUCGACAUCAUCAUGAUUUCGAGUUCGAAAUCGAAGCCUCAAUUAAGUAACGAGGCAUUCAAUGUAAACAUUAUUAGGCUAUUAAGUAUAACAUAUCAUCUUGCUUUAAAGGAUUCCAAUCGGAAGUGGUAGAGAACAGUUUCAUUCAGCUUGUUUUCACUUCUGCUUAUUUCAUUAUGUGUUUACACACGUUACCUUCAGUUUUUAGUCAAGUACCAAAAACCAAGAGCUUUUCCUUUCCUUAGAGGAAUCAAAAGCAACCACAAAAUUAAAUAACAAUGAUAUAAAGAGCUCAUAGCAUAUGAUCCAGCUGAUAAACCAGUUGAGAUCUACAACAUGAAUUAAGAGAGCAAAAUCGUGUGACCGUAUCAACAUCGAAACAACUUAAAGUCCACUGCAGUGGCACAGAAAUCAUUUGAGAAGGGUUCUGGUUAAAUGUUCUCUUGCAACAGCCCAUGCUUGAGUUAUAGUCUGCAAAGUUUGAAAAUUAGGAAAGCAGGAUUAGAUUAGUUUCUACUUUCUACCGCAUUUUAAUUGAAAACACUUUUGAGUAUCUGAAAUCCCUAUUAGCAGUACCUAGAAGCCCCUUAAUCUAUUUGGUUUCAACUAAGCAAACGGAAAGUUUUGCAUUACCUGCUCAGCCAAUGGUGCAUCAGCAUCCAUGGUAUGAGUUGCCACCUUUCCUGCGAUAAUAGUUGGAUCUGUUUCAAGUAUCAUCCUGCAAUAUAAGUCAAGCACAUGAGAUCGAUGUAUAAUCAUAUACUCGAUGACAGAACUAAGAUCAAGAAUCUUAUUGCACACCCUCCAUCAACAAUCUCAUCAAAGCACAGAAGUAUGAGAUCUAGGUUCUCCAGUGCCUCCCUUUUAUCAACAUUGUUCCUGCAAGUAGGACAAGCAUGAAUAUAUAGCACAAAAGGUCCAAGAUAAAUAAUGUUGAAAGGUAAAAGGAGUUCAAGGAAAAUGUUAUGACGUCCAAGUCUACCUCAAGAGAAGGGCAACUGCAUCAAAGAAUCCCUGAAGGACAGUGGCUAAAAUGAGUUCGUUUUCAUCGUCACUUCCAGUCACAAAGAAGUGAAGGUCCUGCAUAAACCUAUAUACAACAACGUUGCUUUCGAACAUCAUUAUCUCCGCUGCAUAAGAUAUACAAUAGCAAAUUGUAAAUUAAGGUACUACAAAUGUGGUGAUAUAACAUGACUUCCUGUAGCAUAUCGACAACAUGACUUGAAUGAAAUCAUUGUUUUCAUACAUUCAAUCCUUGCAUUUGUCUUAAGAGUCUUAGUGAACACAGAUUUUUCAAAAACUAGCUUUGCACCAUUUGUUGGCCAAUCAUCCGAGUAAUACUUGACCGCCACACGCUUCCCUUCAGAGUCCAUAAGAAGAAUGUUCUUCACAGAUGGGCGUGAAUCCUGGAAAAUAUAUAAAGGUGGAUCAGAACAGCAUGCAUAAAGAUCACUCAAUACAAAUUCAUACGCAGUUAGCCUAUAGCUAAUGAAUUCAUACUUUCAUCCAUAAAAAUCAUAUUGUGCCAAAAGUCUGUCUAAUCUAACUAAGGUUCUAAUAAUAGAUCCUGACUAUAUCCUUGGAUCUUAAAAUCUGAUUGAACAUCAGUUACAAUUGGCCAAAUCAACAUAAUUUGUUAAUAACUUAAUACACAUCAGUUGGUGACUUCAGCCUUCAGGUAUCAAUUUUCAAGCGUAAAAAAGAUCUAUAAUUCAAACUUGAUCGUUUUGCUCGUAAUCAGAGGAACUUCAAAGAUCUAUUGACGUGAGCUCAAAAUGAUCACAUCUUAUUUCCCAAUCAAUUAUACUAAACAAAUCGAUAGAGGUAAUAUGGAUUGGAAAAUGAGACUUACACGGUAACCGAAGAUACACUCCAUUUUGAUGUAAUGAUGAUACCUGAGACUUGGACACUUCGGUUCAGAUAUAUAUACCUUUUUCUUUAGAGGAAUGGAGAUGGGUAGUUUUGUCAGUUUAUUUAACUUUCUUCUACUGCUUUCCAGGAAAAAAAAUAAUUUUGCGUCUUGAUUUAUGUUUCAAAAAAAAAAUAAUCAAAAGUACGCAGUCCUGACUGUCUGAGAUAAUACAUACAAUUAAGAUUAUUCUUCUAUUUUACAUCUUCUUUAAUCUUGAUAGAUUCAUGUAUGUACUAUAAAUUUAUAUACAAUCUUGAUAGAUUUACUCUUCUUAUACCAUAGAUUUAAAAAGGAAGAAGAAUGAUGUCAUAUGUGGUGAACGGAAAGCCUUGGUUUUUUGGACACUAUGUCUGUAAUGGCGAAUGUUUGUAUGACUGUCUGUAAUGACGAAUGUUUGUAUGACCCGGCUAGCGAGUGUACCGAUCUCAACAUUCAUUGAAUAGGUUGAGAUAUUCCGAUUACCAUGACUAGAUAUACGAUGACGAUGGAUGGUUGGGGAAACUCUUGGUUAGGUGGAGCAGUUGGAUGAGAAUGAGAUUAAAUAAGACACCAGAGCUAAGGUCAGACUGAAUGGGAUGAUCCACCCUGACACCUAUUAAGUUGUUUUGCAUGAUUCCUUUACCAUGAUUAAGAUGGUGGAUUAUACUCUUAUCGUUGCCUUUUUUUUAAUAACUUUUUUUAAUAACUGACCUCAUUAUCUCAUAUUCAUAUAUCGAUUACAUGACUUGCAGCUCUAUUGCUAAUCUAAUUUCAUGUUCCUUCAAGAUAACAAAAUAUCUUCAAUAGUCAAUACACGACAUUGCCGUGUAUCUACAACAAACGAAAAAAAUAUGAAAAACUUGACCAUCAACGACAAACGAAAAAAAUAUGAAAAACUUGACCAUAUCGUAUGGGAAGUUGCAAAUAAGAAAAAAUUUCGAUACCUCACGGUCAUGACGUAUAUAUAUUUUGACGAAGUGAUUAACCUCCCAGGUUCCAAAGUCGCGCGUGAUCGUAGCCUCCUCCUCUGAACUAGCCGAAUCUCCUGACUACACUCACAUCUCAACCUUUUCCUUUCCUUAAACUCCCACAACCUUUGUACCUCUCCAAAUCUCUUCUCCACUUUUGCUUUUUUGCUUUGUCUCUUCUCCCCACUUCCCAACCAAACCAAUCACAUUUCCUCUCUCAAAGAUCACACCUUUCCCCCUAAAGUUUCAAUCUUUCACUUUUUCCGGCGACACCCAACUCCCCGGAACCACUUUCCGGCCGACCCAGAAUGGACAAAGAGCCUCUACUCCCCUACACAUCAAGCCCACGAAGAAAGCUCCCAUCUUUAACCACCCUCUGGCCUUUGCCGGAACACGACGAAGUCCCCGUCCCCUUAACCCCGUUGGAGUUUAAAGACCGCAUCAUCUUCGGCUCCCCCGCCGCCGCCACCGCCACUUCUUCUUCGCCGCAUGACUCGUCUCCUCUGGUCGACGCCCUCACUCUCUCUCUCAAUUCUCCAAGACUCUCUUCGAGGCCCACAUCCUCGUCUUCUCUACUGGACCCCACCACCGCGCCGCAGCCGCAGGGGGACCCACAAACGCCGCUGAGCUGGCUGAUCGACCCGAACUACUCAUGGACCAAGACCAACCUCCACAGGUCCAAGACGGCUCCGGCAAUGGCGGUUUUGAACGAGGUGAACCGCCGGGCCGGGCCUAAGCCUCAGAUGAGUUCACAGUCUAUUGUGAGGCAAGCUGUGAUUCUUCUUAUUGCGUAUUUGACAUUAGGGGUGACUAUAUAUUGGUUUAACCGUGAUAAUUUCGAAGCGAGUGAGACUCACCCUGUUGUGGAUGCUCUGUAUUUUUGCAUUGUGACAAUGUGCACUAUUGGGUAUGGGGAUAUCACACCCAAGACUACGGCUACCAAGCUGUUUUCAAUAAUGUUUGUGUUGGUGGGGUUCGGGUUUAUUGAUAUAUUGCUUAGUGGGAUGGUGUCAUAUGUGCUUGAUUUGCAGGAGGGUUAUUUGCUGAGGAGUGUGAAGGGUGUGGGGGAGAAGAAGGAGUCGUAUAUUAUUGAUGUGAAGAAGGGGAGGAUGAGGAUUCGGAUGAAGGUGGGACUGGCAUUGGGGGUUGUGGUGCUUUGUAUUGGUGUUGGUGCUAUGGUGAUGCAUUAUGUGGAGAAGUUAGGAUGGUUGGAUUCGUUUUAUCUCUCGGUUAUGUCUGUAACGACUGUGGGGUAUGGUGACCGGGCUUUUCAGUCUGUGCAGGGUCGGUUGUUUGCUUCAGUUUGGUUGCUUGUGUCCACACUCACGGUUGCUAGAGCCUUUUUGUAUUUGGCUGAGGCAAGGGUGGAUAAACGGCAUAGGAGGAUGGCAAAGUGGGUUCUUGGCCAGGAUAUGACUGUUUCCGAGUUCCUUGCUGCUGACAUUGACAAUAAUGGGUUUGUGAGGUAUGUGUUUUUACCAAACCUUUUGACAUUUUGAUCAGAUGAGUUGUUUGAGAUUGUUGGCUUUGUUUAAUUGACCUACAAUGAUGAUGGUGUAAAAGUUAUUUACUUCAUAGAUUGCAUUGUUUUGCUCUGAAUUCUUUAUGUGCUGUUUAGUUGUACUGCAUUUACCCAUUACUUUAGGUUUUGUAUGAAAGAAACAUGAAUACAUGUUAAGCAACUUGUAAUACAUUUUCUGCUUUGUUAGAAACACAGAUGAUCACUCCUUUCUCUAGUUAUCAAGUAUGAGAUUGAGUGAAGAGCCCUUUUUGUAAUAUAACUGCCCAGAAUUAGAUAGUUUAUUUUACAUUUUCCAACUUCUAUAAGUUCAACUUUGUGGUUUGUACUCAUAUGAUGCCGAAUAAGACAUCAGUUAUUAGAUUGUGUUCAAAGUGUUUCAGGGUUGGUGUGUCUUCUCAUUUCUUGGUACGUGUAUGUGUGAUAUGAAGGAGACCAAUGAAGUCAUUAAGGUGGAAUAAAACAGAUAAGAAUCAUAAGAUACUUUAGGUGAGUCUUUAUCAUAGCAUCCCCAUAAGCACAAUAGUCGCUUCUUUGGGAUUUGAGCAAGUCUUAAUAACAUAAUGCCACCACAAGUGAUACAAUACGUAUAGGACUCUGAGCACGAAAUUCAUCAUAGUGAAAUUUGAUUAGGGUGUCUCUGAUAAGAAUUGGCUAUAUGUUUUUCUCUUAUAAAUGAUACACAUUUGAUAGUGGGUAUCAACUCCGGAUGCGUAUGCUUUGGUAUCUUUCUGCCCUUUUGAGUUUGAUGUCAGGUUGGUAAUGGGCAUAGUCUAGUAAUGUUCAGUUUUGCUUGUGUAUUGAACAUCAGAGUCUGUACGUUCUCCACUUUGAGAAAAUUGUUUGGUUUCUCAUGUGAAGAGAAACAUUGUGGACAAGUCUGCAAAUAAUUUUGGAUGCCACAAAGUCAGGGCCUUGUGUCUAAGUCCAACUGAUCUGGGACAUAUGAACACUUGGUAGCAUAUGAAAUCUAUCAUUGCCAUUAUUGCAUAAUAGGCCCUGAGAACAGAGUAUAUGAUCUGAAUUGCAUCUUUACUUCAGAGCUGUCUUUUGCCCACCUUUUCAACUAAAGAACAUAUCUACGAACCUCCUGCCCUUUCUUGUGUUUGGAACUCAUGUUGCACAUAUCUCUCGUGUUCUUUAUGGACAAAAUGAUUACUCCUGCUCUUCUUUUUUGCAAUGUAAGCACUACUACUUUCCUGAUUCUUUUCCUCUAUUUAGAGGCUCCAAAGACAAAUUCAGUCAAUGAACUUAUUCUGUACAUGGUUGGCUCUUAGUAGAUGUGGCCAAAGGUCAAAUACAAAUUGUGAAGCCUUAUUGAACAUCCAGCACUGCCAACUUGGGUGUAUAGGCUAGAACUACUAUUGUAUUGCGCCUUUCUUCUUCUCCUAAUUAGUAGUUACUCAUAUUAUUUUGCAUGUUCUUGAGCUCAGUAAUCUGAUUUGGUGUUUUAUAUGAAGUACCUAUUAUAACAAUAGUUUGGAUGACAGGUUGAAAGAGGUACCAACUUACUAUUUUUCUGAAACCAGAGUUCUUAUUUGACUGCCCAACUUCAUAAACUUUUGAACCAUCAUACGUGAGUAGUUUAUGUGCGUUUCAGAUAUUAUAAUGUAAAAGUGAAGCUUGUUGGUUGCUAUUAACCAAUAGUUGAAGAGUCUUUUUCAGUCUGAAUAGUGUAUCUGAAUAAUCUGGAGUCAACAGAUUGCAGAAGAUGGGGAUUAUUUUCAGAUAACAUGCAUAUAAUCUGCUUCUUUGAACAUGCCUUAAUACGUUUUAACAUUUCCAUUAUCUGUCUAUACCAUUAUUUUCUACAGAAGUAUUCCAUACAUAUUGGAAUGCAAAGGUUUUGCUUUAGAUUUCUUGCGCAUAAAUGUGACAUAUUUUUUUUUAACUAAGAUCUAUAUGGAAUGUCUAUAUUGGUAAACUGUCUAUGAGUUGCAACUAAUAUAUUGAUCAUUUAUAGUUAUUAUUUGUGUAUGCUCUUAGCAGUCAACCUUUUGCCAUUAGUGACCAUGAUGUAUUCUAGAAAACUGGAGAUGAACCCUGCUUAUGAUAUUCUCAGUGCUACCGUACUAGGCAAUAACGUGGUUUCAACCAUUGUUUUCUUGUUGUCAUGAUUUAGUUAUGUUAUCUAGCACACCAUGAUAGCUUAACAUGGUGUGCUAGUUUCCUUGGCUGACUUUAUUUGUGUGUAUAUAUAAAUAAAUAAAUAAUUAAAUAAAUCUACGUCUUGUUGGACUGUCUUUGCUUUGUCUUCAGCACCUUAAAUUAUUUGCUUGCUUAUUUUGACUUGCAGUGAUCCGCAACUAGGCAAGUUUUUGUUGGCUAAUGAUGUUGUUCACUUGUUUGUAUAUGCAGCAAGUCAGAAUAUGUGAUAUACAAACUCAAGGAGAUGGGAAAGGUAUCAGAGAAAGAUAUUAUGCAGAUCUCCAACAAAUUUGAUAGGUUAGACUCUGGGAACUGCGGAAAGAUAACGCUUGCCGAUCUUAUGAGUCGUCAUUGAUAUCCAAGCACCUUUUAUUCCUUUUCCUCAUGGUACAGCAAGGGAAGAAAAUACGUUAUCUCAUUGAACAUGACGUAUAAGAAGCCUGAUCUUUAUGUAGGACUCGCCGUUCAUAUACAAGUUGCAUACACAUGAAAUCAUGAAGUAUGAACUCUGCUGCCUGAUCAAUUGGUCCUCCUUUCUAUACAUCCUGAGCAUCAGCUUGGUCGUUCUUAUAUGAUCAGCUACAUCGAUGCAUUUCUUGAGUAAUACAAACAAGCUAACAACAAAGGUUAUUGCAUAUUCCAGAAUUGCUCAAGUGACGGGAGAAGUGAAACAGAAAAUUGAAAUCACUUUUUUGAGUCUAGACAGAAAAUAACUGUUGACAUAGACUGGCUGUCCUUGUUUUUCUUGGAGAAUUUUGAAGAUUAAUAGCUUAGAAAUCAACAGUAUGUUACUUUUGAUUAGAGUUGAGCCUGUCCUUCUGGCUUCCAAUUGUAAAUGAUUGCAGCUUUGGAUCAAUGAAGGUGAGGCCUUGAAUCAGCACUACUAACAAACCACAAGAUUUGUUUUUAAGUUGGUUGAAUAGCUUGAGAAGGGUGAAACAAUUUUACAAAUUGGAAAUUAUCGCAGUGUGUGACUGUUUGAUUUGGAUAUGGGUUCCUGAAGUCUCCUCUAUCUUUUGGUUUAUUGGUGGGGGAGAAAAUGAAAUGCACUCAUCAUAUUUGAUCAUAAUGAACCCAAAAGGUGCGAGUGUGUAACUACCUCAACUCCUGGUUUACCACUUUCUGUCCCUACUGUCUCAUAUGUUUGGUAUGACAGAAACCCUAAUCUUAUAGUAGAAGAAGAUGAAAGGUAGUCAGCCUUGGUGACCAUGUUGGUAUCAAAAGCUUGAUGAUCAAACCAAUGCCAUUCAUAAUCUAUUGCGACUUUUAUGGUAAAAUUGAAUUGAAAGUAGACUAACUACCUAUAUAUAUUGCUUUAUUCUUGUCCUCUACAAAAGUUCCUUUCAGAAGUGUUGAACAGGACCUUUGUUGUUACUAGAAGAACCUUUCCUUGAAGCUUUCUAUAGCAAUGCACAGAAAGCUAGUUCAUACCUCUAAUAGAGUAAUAACAAGACGAACAAUUAGACUGUCUAUUGGAUUCUAAUGAUGAAGUAGACUCUCCUCAGUGUUCUUGAUCUUGAUCUUGACUGGGAAGCAAAGACUGUGUCCUUUGAAUUCAUAGCGUUUACCCAUAAAGGAGAACAAAAACUUGAAAGAAUGCAAACUAAACUAAAAUAUACCAAGUCAGAUUGACUCACUGCCACUCAUGACAAGCAGAUGACUCCAUCAAAGAAGCAAUAAGUUUCUGAUUUGGUAAAUAAAGGUCAUUUGCUUCAUUUUUUAUUCACCAGUUAGUGAAAUGGUGG